rnacentral:rRNA from 1 species
GCUGGCGGCGUGCUUAACACAUGCAAGUCAAGGGGAAAGCAGUCUUCGGAUUGUAAGUAUACUGGCGGACGGGUGAGUAACGCGUAGGCAACCUGCCCUUGUGUUUGGGAUAACUCCGAGAAAUCGGGGCUAAUACCGAAUGACGUUAUAUAAUCGCAUGGUUAUAUAAUUAAAGGUGUCGCAAGUUAUUGCACAGGGAUGGGCCUGCGUUCCAUUAGCUAGUUGGUAGGGUAACAGCCUACCAAGGCGACGAUGGAUAGCUGAUCUGAGAGGGUGAUCAGCCACACUGGGACUGAGAUACGGCCCAGACUCCUACGGGAGGCAGCAGUGAGGAAUAUUGCGCAAUGGAGGAAACUCUGACGCAGCAACGCCGCGUGGGGGAUGAAGCACUAUGGUGUGUAAACCUCUGUAGGUUGGGAAGAACGACAUAUAUUCGUAAGGGUAUGUGUAUGACGGUACCAUCAAAGUAAGCUCCGGCUAACUCCGUGCCAGCAGCCGCGGUAAUACGGGGGGAGCGAGCGUUGUCCGGAAUUACUGGGCGUAAAGGGCGUGUAGGUGGUUAGAUAAGUCA